UACGUAGGGUGCGAGCGUUAAUCGGAAUUACUGGGCGUAAAGAGUGCGUAGGCGGUUCGUUAUGUCUGCUGUGAAAGCCCCGGGCUCAACCUGGGAAUGGCAAUGGAUACUGGCAGGCUAGAGUGCGGUAGAGGGUAGUGGAAUUCCCGGUGUAGCGGUGAAAUGCGUAGAGAUCGGGAGGAACACCAGUGGCGAAGGCGGCUACCUGGACCAGCACUGACACUGAGGCACGAAAGCGUGGGGAGCAAACAGG
rnacentral:rRNA from 1 species